UCCUCAUCCACUUCCCCGGCUCCUGCUCCCGACUCUCGCCGCCGCCGCCGCCAUGGGCUCCUCCUACUACGACCCAUCCCCGUCGCCGGGCGCCGACGAGCUCUUCCUCUACCUCUCCGACCUCGGCCCCACCUCGCCCUCCGCCUACCUCGACCUCCCGCCCACCUCGCCAUCCGCCUACCUCGACCUCCCGCCCACACCGCAGGGGAACACCACGGGCCCCAAGCAGGACAUGCUGCUCCCCUACAUCUCCAGCAUGCUCAUGGAGGACGACAUCGACGACACCUUCUUCUACGACUACCCGGACAACCCGGCUCUCCUCCAGGCGCA
rnacentral:lncRNA from 1 species